GACGAACGCUCGCGGCGUGCUUAACACAUGCAAGUCGAACGGAAAGGACAUGAUAUCGUGCGGUGCUCGAGUGGCGAACGGGUGCGUAACAGGUGAGUAAGAUGACCUUGACCUUGGGAUAACUACAGGAAACUGGGGCUAAUACUGGUUAGGAGCUACUGCUGCAUGGUGGGGGUUGGGAAGAUUAGGCGGUUGGGGAUGGACUCGCGGCUCAUCAGCUAGUUGGUGGGGUAGCGGGUUACCAAGGACUUGAUGACUAGGGGGUCUGAGAGGAUACUCCCUGAGACUGGUACUGAGAAACGGAGCAGAGUCCUACGGGAGGCAGCCGUACGGAAUAUUGGUCAAUGGACGGAAGUAUGAACCAGCCAUGCCGCGUGCAGGAAGACGGCCCUAUGGGUUGUAAACUGCUGUUAGACGGGCACAAACGUCGGUACGUGUACCGGUCUGAGUGUAACGGAAGAAUAAGGAUCGGCUAACUCCGUG
rnacentral:rRNA from 1 species